GCUUCCAUAGCUCAGUAGGUAGAGCACUUCCAUGGUAAGGAAGAGGUCGCCGGUUCGAGCCCGGCUGGGAGCU
rnacentral:tRNA from 3 species